ACCUUCGUGGUGUAGUGGUCAGUACGCUCGACGCGUAACCGAGAGGUCCGUGGUUCGAUUCCCGGCGAAGGCA
rnacentral:tRNA from 1 species